CAAACGUUUCAUGGAUUCGGUGGAAGAUGAUGGUCCGAAUUCCACGAGAUAUUCUUUAGACCUCCAUGAUUGUAUCGUACUGCUUCUUCUCCAUCAGUCUUAAAUCAGUCCACAAAAAAAGUUGAAUGCUUCCGCAUAUCCUGCUGAGACGCACGGAAAAAGAUCGCACGCAAUGAAGUACGGUUUCAGUUGGAAGCCGUUUGCUAUGGAGUACAGUGUAGAGACUAUUGUUGAUUAAAGAAACAUUCACGUAAAAAAUUGUAAUAUCGAAAACAUAGUGAACCAGAGCAGAACCACAAACUGUCCACCCAGUUUAAAUGGUGAUGUUUGCAGAUCAUUAAACCAAUACAAUCAAGUAUCUCAAGCUUGACAUUG